UGGACUGGAAUCUCAGUCUUGUGCUGCAAAGCAUUCUAAAUCCCUAGUUAUUCCUUAUUAACAUCAUACCUAUUGGAGUUGCUUCAUGGUGUAUAAAUAGAUAUCCAUCGUUAAAUAUUCAAAAGGGAAAGUAAUUAAAACUGUCUUCUAUAUCUUUGAUGAGAACUCCUGUCACUGGACUGGACCAUAGAGCAAUUAUUAAUCAAGCUACGAAAUGGGUCAUCUUUGACAAGAAGUACUCAGUCUGGUUUAUGUUGUAGCCCAGUGGCACAGCACGCUCAUAGUUCAUGCCAGUAAAAGCUCAAGCAAGCACAGGUUAGGAAGUCCUUAGCAGCCGAUGACAUAUUUUACAACUAUCCAGAAGCAUAACUCCAUCUAAUUUGGCACUCACAAUGAAUAAGAGAUCAAGAUUUUUGAGAAGUUAUUAGACCAACUGAUACAAGAAGGAAAUGCAGAUCUGUGUCCCUCCAAAUCUCACCUUCCUUAAACAGAAGAAAAAAAAAAGAGAAGAAAUUGAAGAAUUAUUGAUUGAAGAACAAUAUAUUUUGUGGCAUUCUAGUAUGGAGAAUAGGAAGCUCUACAACGUAUGACUGUAUUUGAAAAGCAGAAAACAACUCUCAGAAACGACAACUGAUACAUAUGGCUGCUUCUGAAAAUCCUACUAAUCUUCUUUCCUCAAAUCUUACUUUUUAAGUGUUAAAGAACAGAAACUUGAUCUUUUCUAUUCUUGUCUGGUUAUUCUCUGUCCUAUAUCUGAGGAAACUGACUUGUAGGAAUUUGCAGCAUAGAGCAUUUUGUAAAAACAUGGGCUGCGUAUGUGCACUGGCGAAGCACAAGGAUGGAUUUGGCUUCCCUGACUCCUCCACAUCAAGGCACUCUGGUAUCCUCCCAGCUACCCAUCCUGUCUCAUACAUAAUGUCACUUUUGGUACUGCAUAGAAGGAACUGAAAAAAGAUAGCUGCUGCUGAGCAUUGAAGUAUUCUUAAUGCUUCACUGUUACCCCCAGUGGAUUUUAAGGAUAAAUCUAAAUUUAUCCUGGCUCUGUGUGGUUG